GACGAACGCUGGCGGCGUGCUUAACACAUGCAAGUCGAACGGAAAGGCGCUGCUUUUGUGGGGUGCUCGAGUGGCGAACGGGUGAGUAACACGUGAGUAACCUGCCCUUGACUUUGGGAUAACAUCAGGAAAAUGGGGCUAAUAUCGGAUAGGAGCUCCUGAUGCAUGGGGGGGGUUGGAAAGAUUCGGCGGUUGGGGAUGGAAUCGCGGCUUAUCAGCUUGUUGGUGGGGUAGGGGCUUACAAAGGCUUUGACGGGUAGCCGGCCUGGGAGGGUGACCGGCCACAUUGGUACUGAGAUACGGCCCAGACUCCUACGGGAGGCAGUAGUGGGGAAUAUUGCGCAAUGGGCGGAAGCCUGAUGCAGCAACCCCGCGUGCGUGAUGACGGCCUUCGGGUUGUAAACCGCUUUCGCCUGUGACGAAGCGUGAGUGACGGUAAUGGGUAAAGAAGCACCGGCUAACUACGUG
rnacentral:rRNA from 1 species